rnacentral:tRNA from 1 species
UGUAGAUAUAGCUUAAAUCAAGAGGAAAGCAUCUAAUUGUUAAUUAGAAGAAUUAUUUCUACAU